rnacentral:rRNA from 1 species
UACGUAGGGUGCGAGCGUUAAUCGGAAUUACUGGGCGUAAAGCGUGCGCAGGCGGUUCGUUGUGUCGGCGGUGAAAGCCCCGGGCUUAACCUGGGAAUUGCGAUGGAGACUGCAAGGCUUGAAUCUGGCAGAGGGGGGUAGAAUUCCACGUGUAGCAGUGAAAUGCGUAGGGAUGUGGAGGAACACCGAUGGCGAAGGCAGCCCCCUGGGUCAAGAUUGACGCUCAUGCACGAAAGCGUGGGGAGCAAACAGG